AAUAGAAAUGAAAAUAUUUUAUUAACUUAUUUAAAAAUUUAGUUUAUUCUGAUGGAUCUCCACGAUCUAAAUCUGACCAAGUGGCUUGAUUCAUCUUCUAUUAUAACAUCAAAAUUGGAAGGCAAUAUAAAAGAUCAUUUCAGUUUUAUUAAGGAUUUAGUUAAUGAAAAUAAAAAUCAAGUUAAUACUAAAGAUAUGGAAGCAUUAUCUGACGAUUAUAAUAUGUUAUCCCAAAAAUUAAAAAUAAGAAGUGAUGUUUUUGCAAAUUUUAAAUCCCAAAUUCUCUCACAAGAUGAUGUAAAAGAUGUUCUAGAUGAUAUUAAAAAGUUUGAGGGUAUUGAUGAAACAUCUGAUGAGAAAAUAACUAAAAAUUUGAAAAGAAAACAUAAAAAUAUAUCCUAAUUAUAUAUGUUAAUAUAAAAUUUAUAUUAUAUGUUAUAUUACAUAAUAGUAUUUAAAUAAAUAUUUAGAUUUAUCUUUAUUUGUAUAAUGAAGGUAAAUGCUACUUAAUAGCUAACUCAAUAUUUUAUCUAGGAAAGUAUUUCUCAGGCUAGAAGAUUUAGUUCAUAGAUGACACCAAUGUUUGGAGUAUCUAUUAUCAAAAUCUUGAGGCUUAUGCAAUAUUUUCCUAGCUAAAAUAUUUAGAUAGCUCUUUUUAAAAAUUGUCUCAACUUAAAUUAUUUAACAACACUAAUAUUUAGUGCUCAUAUCUUAAAUUUUCAU